AGAACGAACGCUGGCGGCGUGGAUAAGACAUGCAAGUCGAACGGGUUUAAUUUCGGAGCAAUUCGGAAUUAGGCCAGUGGCGAACGGGUGCGUAACACGUGAGUCAUCUGCCUGAAAGUGGGGGAUAGCUCGUCGAAAGGCGAAUUAAUACCGCAUACGCCCCGAAGCAAUUCGGGGUAAAGCCGGGGCAACCUGGCGCUUUUAGAGGAACUCGCGGCCUAUCAGCUUGUUGGUGAGGUAACGGCUUACCAAGGCUUCGACGGGUAGCUGGUCUGAGAGGACGACCAGCCACACUGGAACUGAGACACGGUCCAGACACCUACGGGUGGCAGCAGUCGAGAAUUUUUCUCAAUGGGGGAAACCCUGAAGGAGCGACGCCGCGUGGAGGAUGAAGGCUUUCGGGUUGUAAACUCCUGUCAUUUGGGAACAAGCCUUACGUUAACUGCGUGGAGGUUUGAUAGUACCGAAGAGGAAGAGACGGCUAACUCUGCGCCAGCAGCCGCGGU
rnacentral:rRNA from 1 species